GACGUAGGGUGCGAGCGUUGUCCGGAUUUAUUGGGCGUAAAGAGCUCGUAGGCGGCUCGUCGCGUCGACCGUGAAAACCCGCGGCUUAACUGCGGGCUUGCGGUUGAUACGGGCGGGCUAGAGUUCGGUAGGGGAGACUGGAAUUCCUGGUGUAGCGGUGAAAUGCGCAGAUACCAGGAGGAACACCGGUGGCGAAGGCGGGUCUCUGGGCCGAUACUGACGCUGAGGAGCGAAAGCGUGGGGAGCGAACAGG
rnacentral:rRNA from 1 species